AGUGAACGCUGGCGGUAUGCCUAACACAUGCAAGUCGAACGGCAGCACAGUAAGAGCUUGCUCUUACGGGCGUAGAGUGGCGGACGGGUGAGGUAUACAUCGGAAUCUACCUUUUCGUGGGGGAUAACGUAGGGAAACUUACGCUAAUACCGCAUACGACCUACGUGUGAAAGCAGGGGAUCUUCUGACCUUGCGCGAUUGAAUGAGCCGAUGUCGGAUUAGCUAGUUGGCGGGGUAAAGGCCCACCAAGGCGACGAUCGGUAGCUGGUCUGAGAGGAUGGUCAGACACACUGGAAGUGAGACACGGUACAGACACCGACAGGAGGCAGCAGUGGGGAAUAUUGGACGAUGGGGGCAAGCCUGAUCCAGCCAUACCGGGUGGGUGCAGAAGGACUUCGGGUGGUAGAGCGCUUUUGUUGGGAAAGAAAAGCAGCAGGUUAAUACGCGGCUGUUCUGACGGUACCCGAAGAAUAAGCACCGGCUAACUUCGUG
rnacentral:rRNA from 1 species